rnacentral:rRNA from 1 species
GAUGAACGCUAGCGGCAGGCUUAAUACAUGCAAGUCGAGGGGUAGCAAGAUUGUAGCAAUACAAUUGUUGACGACCGGCAAACGGGUGCGGAACACGUACACAACCUUCCUACAAGUGGGGAAUAGCCCAGAGAAAUUUGGAUUAAUACCCCGUAACAUAGCGAUGUGGCAUCACAUUGCUAUUAUAGCUUCGGCGCUUGUUGAUGGGUUGGCGGCUGAUUAGAUAGUUGGCGGGGUAACGGCCCACCAAGUCUACGAUCAGUAGCUGAUGUGGGAGCAUGAUCAGCCACACGGGCACUGGGACACAGGCCCGACUCCUACGGGAGGCAGCAGUCAGGAAUAUUGGACAAUGGACGCAAGUCUGAUCCAGCCAUGCCGCGUGAAGGAUUAAGGUCCUCUGGAUUGUAAACUUCUUUUAUAAGGGACGAAAAAAGGUCUUUCUAGAUCGUCUGACGGUACCUUAUGAAUAAGCACCGGCUAACUCCGUGCCAGCAGCCGCAGUAACAC